rnacentral:ribozyme from 1 species
AAAGAAACAAGCAAUGCAAAAAAAAAAUGAAAUGACCCUUUUGGUUUUCCCCUCCUCACGUUUCUUUCUUAUUCUCUUUUUUUUU